rnacentral:lncRNA from 1 species
CUUGGAUGGUGCUACUCACCGCAAACCACAGUCCGUCAUGAAUUGCCGUGUGGCCUCCACAGAAGGCUUUCCUGGGGAACCCUGGGCUCCUCCAGCAGCCAGAAAGCCCGCAGCCAGAGGCAGACCUACCCCAACACCACAUUUCCCUCUGGAAAGCUCCCUUAAACUUUCCUUCCAGAGCCUUCUGUCAAAGUGCAACAUCCUGACUCAAAAGGGCCCUUCUGGAGUUGUCCUUAAGGCAAAAAUCUCAGGUAUCAUCAUCAUCAUCAUCAUCAUCAUCCAGAUAUUACCCCUCCAUGCCAGACUACGAUGAGAGCUUUCAUAGACCACCUCACUCAUGUCUAUCAGCAAACCCAUGUGGAAGAAAGAAGUUUAUCCCCAUUUUAUAGAUGAGGAGAUUGAGGCUCAAGCAAUAAGGUAAGUCGCUCAAAGUCAUUUAGCUUAUCAAUAACAGAGCUAAGGCCAGGCGCAGUGGUUCAUGCCUAUAAUCCCAGGACUUUAGGAGGCCAAGGCAAGCAGAUCACCUGAGGUCGGAAGUUCGAAACCAGCCUGACCAACAUGGCAAGACCCAUCUCUACUAAAAAUACAAAAAUUAGCCAGGCGUGGUGGUGGGCAUCUGCAAUUCCAGCUAUCCGGGAGGCUGAGGCAGGAGAAUUGCUUGAACAUAGGAGGCAGAGGUUGCAAUGAGCCGAGAUCGAGCCACUGCACUCCAACCUGGGCGACAGAGCAAGACUCUGUCUCAAAACAAAAAAACAUGGAGCUGAGAUUUGAACCCACAGGCCC